GGCGCGGUGGGCCUAAUGAUUAGCGCGUUGGACUCUGGAUCGAGCGGUCCGGGUUCGAGAGCUGGCUGUGGUCA